UACGAAGGGGGCUAGCGUUGUUCGGAAUUACUGGGCGUAAAGCGCACGUAGGCGGGUUGUUAAGUCAGGGGUGAAAUCCCGGAGCUCAACUCCGGAACUGCCUUUGAUACUGGCAAUCUAGAGACUGGAAGAGGUUAGUGGAAUUCCCAGUGUAGAGGUGAAAUUCGUAGAUAUUGGGAAGAACACCAGUGGCGAAGGCGGCUAACUGGUCCAGUACUGACGCUGAGGUGCGAAAGCGUGGGGAGCGAACAGG
rnacentral:rRNA from 1 species